rnacentral:rRNA from 1 species
UACGGAGGGGGCUAGCGUUGUUCGGAAUUACUGGGCGUAAAGCGCGCGUAGGCGGACCUGCAAGUCGGGGGGUGAAAGCCCGAGGCUCAACCUCGGAACUGCCUUCGAUACUGCGGGUCUCGAGUCCGGGAGAGGUGAGUGGAAUUCCUAGUGUAGAGGUGAAAUUCGUAGAUAUUAGGAAGAACACCUAUGGCGAAGGCAGCUCUCUGGGACGGUACUGACGCUGAGACGCGAAAGCGUGGGGAGCGAACAGG